rnacentral:rRNA from 1 species
UGAAUACGAGACGCUAAGGCGUCGAAGUAGUGUAUGUCAUACUUCCAAGAAAAGCUUGCACUGUCAUAAGUAAAAAAUGCCUGUACCAUAACCGACACAGGUGGGUAGGUAGAGUAUACUAAGGGGCGCGAGAUAACUCUCUCUAAGGAACUCGGCAAAAUAACUCCGUAACUUCGGGAGAAGGAGUACCUUAUUCUAUAAGGUUGCAAUAACAAGAUCCAAGCAACUGUUUAUCAAAAACACAGGUCUCCGCUAAGUCGUAAGACGAUGUAUGGGGGCUGACGCCUGCCCAGUGCCAGAGGGUUAAAGAAGUCGGUUAGCAUUAGCGAAGCUGGUAACUGAAGCCCUGGUGAACGGCGGCCGUAACUAUAACGGUCCUAAGGUAGCGAAAUUCCUUGUCGGGUAAGUUCCGACCCGCACGAAAGGCGUAAUGAUUUGGAUACUGUCUCGGAGAGGGGCUCGGUGAAAUAGACUUGUCUGUGAAGAUGCGGACUACCUGCACCAGGACAGAAAGACCCUAUGAAGCUUUACUGUAACUUGAAAUUGAAUUUGGACUUUAUUCGCGCAGUAUAGGUGGGAGGUGUUGAUUAUAAUCUUGCGGGAUUAUUGGAGCCAUCAGUGAGAUACCACUCUUGUAAUGUUAGAUUUCUAACUUUGAAUCAUUAUCUGGUCAAAGGACAGUUUCAGGCGGGCAGUUUGACUGGGGCGGUCGCCUCCCAAACGGUAACGGAGGCGUACAAAGGUUUCCUCUGAACGGGUAGAAAUCGUAUCUAGAGUGUAAAGGCAUAAGGAAGCUUGACUGUGAGACCUACAAGUCGAACAGGGACGAAAGUCGGUCUUAGUGAUCUGACGGUACUGAGUGGAAAGGCCGUCACUCAACGGAUAAAAGUUACUCUAGGAUAACAGGCUGAUCUCCCCCAAGAGUUCACAUCGACGGGGAGGUUUGGCACCUCGAUGUCGGCUCAUCGCAUCCUGGGGCGGUAGUACGUCCCAAGGGUUGGGCUGUUCGCCCAUGAAAGCGGUACGCGAGCUGGGUUCACAACGUCGUGAGACAGUUCGGUCCAUAUCCGGUGUAGGCGUUAGAAUAUUGAGAGGAGCCUUCUUUAGUACGAGAGGACCGAGAAGGACAUACCUCUGGUGUACCAGUUAUCGUGCCAACGGUAAACGCUGGGUAGCUAUGUAUGGAGUGGAUAACCGCUGAAAGCAUCUAAGUGGGAAGCCCACCUCAAGAUAAG